CACUUCAAUAGACAUUAUCCCUUGUUUUGUACUCCUCGUACCAUUACAGGAAUAUGGUGCAUGUUCCUCUUGAAUUCAUCAUGUUCUGCAUCAAGUUUGAUCCGUUCAGAUUCCCCAAUAGAAAACAUUCUAUUCUAUUGGCCAUCACAAACCAUCGAACAAUGUCCCAAGAAAAGUUCCUUGACCCUGAGAGAUCCAUUUAUUUAUUUAAUGAAGCCACGCAAGGGACGUCUCUUAUGAGACAGCUGUCCAAACAUGAGUGCUUCAUCUUCCUUUCCGCCAUCUCUACGCAGGAAUCUGGGGUUGACAAGGAAUCGGAAGGAUCUGGUAAUUAAGGAGCUUGGCUGUCGUGGAAUGAUUGGGACUGAACGAAUUGGACUUGAUGCUGGUGACAGUCUUGGUGCUCUUGGUUUGAACCUCGAAUCCACUGGCCCUGGUGUAUUUGAUGCUCUGUUUUCGAGUUUCUCCAUGAUUCUUGUGACAGAGCGGCACUGAUGGCUAUGCGACACCCCAAAGCUACUGUUUUGUCUGGUGCACUUUCAGCUUUGUUUGUUAUGACUUAUUGAGCGACCCGUUUACAAGGCAGGAGUACGACAAGAAAAGGAUGCGUCAUAUCUUUGAGCACAAUAUGGAGCUUUUUGAUCGGUACAAGGAGCUCAUCUUUACUUGCAAUGGCCUUGGGAUGAAGAAUUUUCUUUGAAAGACCAGUGAUGUAUAUGGCGGAGAUAUGUUGAGCGAGACUAAACCAUUACAGAUACAGGCUUCAGCCAAGAAAGACAUUGCCUCCACCAAAGUUGCCAAGUGAUCACAUAACCAAGCUCUGUCGUGGGGAUUGGAUGAUUAAAAGGUCGUCAAGUUCUAACCUAGUGCAGCAUCAACGUCCAUUACAAAAGGUUGUAUUAUCAGAAACUUGUAUAAAUGAUAUGGAUAAUGAAAGUGUAUUCACAAGAUCAAAUGUUUCUUCUCAAAUCUUCCUUCUCAAGUU